rnacentral:rRNA from 1 species
UACGUAGGUGGCAAGCGUUAUCCGGAUUUAUUGGGCGUAAAGAGAACACAGGCGGUCUUUUAAGUCUGAUGUGAAAGCCUUCGGCUUAACCGGAGUAGUGCAUUGGAAACUGGGAGACUUGAGUGCAGAAGAGGAGAGUGGAACUCCAUGUGUAGCGGUGAAAUGCGUAGAUAUUAGGAGGAACACCAGUGGCGAAGGCGGCUUACUGGACGGCAACUGACGCUGAGGCUCGAAAGCGUGGGGAGCAAACAGG